GGUGAACGCUGGCGGCGUGCUUAAGACAUGCAAGUCGAACGGCAGUCUUCGGACUGUAGUGGCGCACGGGUGAGUAACGCGUAACUGACCUACCCCAAAGUCGCGGAUAACGAUUCGAAAGAAUCGCUAAUACGUGAUGUGCUGUCAGAUUGUGUUCUGCCAGUAAAGAUUGAUUGCUUUUGGAUGGGGUUGCGUUCCAUCAGCUAGUUGGUGGGGUAAAGGCCCACCAAGGCGACGACGGAUAGCCGGCCUGGGAGGGUGGCCGGCCACAGGGGCACUGAGACACGGGUCCCACUCCUACGGGAGGCAGCAGUUAGGAAUCUUCCACAAUGGGCGAAAGCCUGAUGGAGCGACGCCGCGUGAGGGAUGAAGGUCUUCGGAUCGUAAACCUCUGAAUCAGGGACGAAAGACACUUCGGUGGGAUGACGGUACCUGAGUAAUAGCACCGGCUAACUCCGUGCCAGCCGCCGCCGUAA
rnacentral:rRNA from 1 species